rnacentral:lncRNA from 1 species
AGGGAGAUGAUGAUGGAAAGCCUGCCCUGAGGAAAUGCUUGCCAUUUGCCAUUCAGUCUGUAAAGCCACGCAUGCAUCUUCCUGAGAAUGGUUGCACGUGUGUGGCGUUGCAGGCUGUUAGCUGCUUGGGCAGGGAUCUCUCCAUGCGGGGUGGCAAGUCCCCAGGAAAGCCAUUUUCUGGUGGAAGAAAGGCCGGGGGGACUUCUCAGAGGUAAGGAGCCUUCAAAUGUACGGGGACCCCUAACUCAUGCGCCAAGCAUGCGAGACAAAUGUCCGUGGCACGAAGAUCGAGGACGACUUCUCAGAGCUCGCACAUCAGCGCUGCUCCGCGAAGCCCUGACUGCCGCUCUGCUUCCGCGCAUGCGCGGAGCCGGCCGGCUCGUCUAAGGAGGGGGAGCCGGGCGGCACCGCAGGACCCCUGCCCGCGGCAAAAUGGCGGCGCCCUUCUCCGGAACGGGAGCCGCGCCGCGCCCGGCACGGCACGGGACGCCGAGGCGCGGUACCUCUCCGGGAAGGGACUGGACGGGACGGGACGACGCGGCGACGGGCAGGCGGUUGGGGCGCCACGCGGUGGGCGGGUUCUGCGGAAAAGGCCCUUCUGCGGGGCGGGGGCGGCGCCGGAGCGGACCAGAGCGGACCGAGCGUGCUGCGAGGGCAGAAGCAGCUCCCCACCGCUAGGACCCCUGUGGGUUUUGUUGCCGAGCAAAGGUGGCACACCGGGUAAACCGAGAAAAGCUGCAGCUGGUGUGCUGCAGUUGCAGGUUUCCCAGGAGAAAGAGCAGCUCGUCUGUCCCGACUGUUCAGCUCGUGCAGAAGGCUGACAGCCUGUCUCACUCUCAUCAGUGCUAUCCCACCAGCUCCUUUAGGAGCUCAGCACCAUGUUUGGCCUGUUGUGAUCUUCCCAAUCUCCUCAUUUCUGUGCUGCAACACCACCAUCCGCGAGAAGUCAGGUAGGAUCUGAAGACCUUUGACAUUGCUAAAGAAUCAAACCUCAGCUGUCAUUUUUAGCCCUUUGUAUUCCAGAUGUUUGUUUUGCUGGACGAUAGUUUCAUUUUUGAUUUUGUAAUAUGUUCUUUGUAGAGGUUAUUUUAAGCAGACAAGUAGGUAGCCUCCUUCCUUCAGUGGAAUCGUGCGGGUUUUAGCAGAGCUCUGCACAUCUGAGCAGUUGCCCAGUGGUUCUGGUCUUGACACGUCUCUAAAACCUUUGUCUGCCUCGCCCCUCCUCUUUGUGUAUUAAGAUGCAUGUCUCUGCAAAAAUUAUGUACGCUGUGCAUAAGAUGCCCAGUGGUUAUGGGGCAUUUUCAGCGUUUCACAGAUAAGACUCCAUGUUUACUUAAUCACUUAAGUGUAGUCCUGGCUUUAAGCGUAGGUGUAGCUAAUGAUGAUUACUGAAGUGGUUAUAAAGUUCAAAAUGUUUGUGUAUAUCUGUAUAAAUAUAUAUAUAUAUACAUACAUAUGUAUAUGUAUGUGUGUGUGUAUAUAUAUAUAUAAUGAAACUGAGUCUGUGGAGUAAAAGACUUCUCUGAUUGUUGCAUAUAUUCAUCUAUCAGCAGACUCGUGCAGGCUGAUCCAAACUGAGUGCUGUGACUUUUUUGUUGCCUGGAAUAUGCAAUCUGUGCACCCCAGGUGUACCUGGUCUAUUAACUAUCUCUUAUAUUGUGCCACCCCGUUAAUAUCAGUGGAUGUACCCAGCACCACCUUGGGGCUACACAUAAUGUGGAAAUUCCUAGUAUGUUAAUGUUACUCUGUUUACAAAGCUGACAUACUAGCCGCUUGCUGUUUCUAUUUUUUUUUGUUUUUCUUUUCAGUAGUCUCCCCAAA